ACAAACCCUUACAUUUAACCUGGGGAAGGGUAGUGUUCAGUUAAUCUGACUAUGCAUUCAAAUCACAAGAUGAAAUGUUCCGUUUGAGGAUCAACUACAUGACAUUUUUCGCACACAUCCUAAAGUGUCGAAGGAACCUUGCAAAAUCCAAAAGUUAUGUCGGUUGUUCUCCGAAUGACCAUUGACUUGACAGUCACAAAUUUUCAAAAAAAAAGAAUAAAAAAGCCCGC
rnacentral:lncRNA from 1 species